rnacentral:rRNA from 1 species
AUUGAACGCUGGCGGCAGGCCUAACACAUGCAAGUCGAGCGGAGCGGCGGACGGGUGAGUAAUACCUAGGAAUCUGCCUGGUAGUGGGGGAUAACGUUCGGAAACGGCCGCUAAUACCGCAUACUAUCAGAUGAGCCUAGGUCGGAUUAGCUAGUUGGUGAGGUAAUGGCUCACCAAGGCUACGAUCCGUAACUGGUCUGAGAGGAUGAUCAGUCACACGGGAGCGGGGACGCGGGGCAUACUCCGAAGGGAGGCAGCAGUGGGAAAUAUUGGACAAGGGGCGGAAGCCUGAACGAGCCAUGCGGCGUGUGUGAAGAAGGGCUUCGGAUUGUAAAGGACUUUAAGUUGGGAAGCGGUACCGACAGAAUAAGCACCGGCUAACUCUGUGCCAGCAGCCGCGGUAAUUC